rnacentral:lncRNA from 1 species
CAGAAAGCAACUUCAGUCCUCUUCCUGAUGAAAUUGCAAUGCCAGGCAUUGAGGGCUGCAGUAAAUAGCUCUGGAGUAAGUGCAGAUGGAGUGGGACAUGAAAAGUACAACUUGUUACUGAAUUACACAGGCUUAUAUUAAAGUCUACAAAACUAUUAGCAACUGAAGAACAUCAAACAAAUUUGCAAACCAACAAGAAGCUGACACUAAUUCCAUUUUCCUUUUCUACUGCUUCUCAAGAAAGCAUAUUGAAGGCAAGUACCUGU